GAGGACUUAGCUUAAUUAAAGUGGUUGGNUUGCAUUCAGCUGAUGUAAGAUAUAGUCUUGCAGUCCUUG
rnacentral:tRNA from 1 species